CUGACGUGUGGUACCCACCGUAGUGAACGAAUCUGGUCCGCUAAUCUUACCCACCUCCGCGUUUCGUGAAAGCGCGCGGCGGCGAGAGGAGCGGAAGCGGCGACAAGCAGAGAGAUGGCCGGCGGUGGCGCCGCCGCCGCCGCGCCGCCGCUUUCGAGCCCCUGGAGGGCGCUGCUCCAGCGAGCUUUGGACGCCAACGCCCACCUCAGGCACUCCACCUAUUUCCAACUUGCCACGGUGGGCGCCGGCGGCAGGCCCGCCAAUCGCACCGUCGUGUUCAGGGGUUUCCAGGAACAUUCUGAUAAGAUUCAGAUUAACACGGAUGCCCGAAGCAACAAGAUUGGUGAGAGAAGGAAUUGCCCCUUCGGAGAGAUUUGUUGGUACUUCACAGACAGCUGGGAGCAAUUCCGUAUCAGUGGAAGCAUAGAUGCGAUUGAUGGCUCCAGUGCAGACCCUGCCAAGCUCCAGAACAGGGAGAAAGCUUGGUUCGCGAGCUCAGUGAGGUCAAGAUUGCAGUACUUGGGACCUCAGCCAGGUGUUCCCAUUAUAGAUGAGGAGCAAGUUAAGGAUGUUCGUCUAGAUCCAUCAGCUGACCCAGUAGAAGCCUUUUGCCUUCUGGUUCUUGAUCCAGAAAAGGUCGAUUAUUUGAAUCUAAAAAACAACCAAAGGUUGAUAUUCACAAGAAGCCAAAAGGAAGAUGGCUCCAUUGAUUGGAUGGCUGAAAAAGUUACUCCGUAAACUGCUGUGAGAAGUUUGUUUGUGAACUUCUUAAGUAACCAGUGUGAGAAAAAAACAACAGUUGGCCUUAAACAUCAGCAUAUGGGAAGCAUUAAAGCUUUGUGUCAACAGGUGCCACUGAUGAGCAGAGCUGAAGCCGUCGGACGGUUGCAGAACUUCAGUGGUCUGUGAGUGCUUAUCUCAGCAUCUGAUUAUGAACAGUUUGAGAUGAAAAACGUGCCAACAGCAUUUUGUCACGCAAAAUGGCAAAAGCAAAGGUGAAGUGAACUAUUGUGGUCAUGUUCUGCGUGAGGCCCCAGCUGCAACUUGGAGUGCAUAGUAUGUUUUGGUGAGUCUAGAGCCUUAUAUCUUUUUGGGGGACCAUAUGACCAUUGGUUCAUCUUGACCACUAUAGUUGUGCAGACUCAAUCAUCUAGCACUUGCAAGGAACAGAUAACCAUGAGCAACCUUUCAAAAAUCAGGAUCUGUCUCCAUUGCACUGAUUUCGCGAGGUCAAAGGUGACUGUUAAAUUGGGUAUUCAGCUUCCGCAUGGAAGACUUUUGGCAGCCUUUUUCUAUCUAUCGACUCGAUGGCUGUGUUUAGAUCCCUCAAAAUUGGUUAGAAAAGGUCACAUCGAACAUUGUAGCACACUGUAACAUUUUUCGUUUGUUUGUGGUGAAUAUUGUCCUACCAUGACCUA